UACGUAGGGGGCAAGCGUUGUCCGGAAUCAUUGGGCGUAAAGCGCGUGUAGGCGGCCCGGUAAGUCCGCUCUGAAAGUCGGGGGCCUACACCGUCGAUGCGGGUGGAUACUGUCGGGCUUGAGUGCGGAAGAGGCGAGUGGAAUUCCUGGUGUAGCGGUGAAAUGCGCAGAUAUCAGGAGGAACACCGGUGGCGAAGGCGGCAUCCUGGACCAACACUGACACUGAGGAGCGAAAGCCAGGGGAGCAAACGGGG
rnacentral:rRNA from 1 species